AAUUUUCAACAUGCGCCCUUUAUGCGAGGUGAACCAUGCAUAAUGUGUGCAGCAGCAUCAUUAUCAAUCGUUGGUGUAGAGGAAGCAUAUUAUGGCUGUGCAAAUGAUAAAUUUGGAGGCUGUGGCUCAAAAGUCAUUGCAUUUAAGUACCUCUGAGGCAUGCAUUAGUGAUGGAAAUCUGAUCAAAUGCAACCUAAGUAUAGUUGAUUCAGUGGAACGGUGUUCAGCCAUAUAAUGGUUGCAAAGAAUGGGUGUAGAAUUUGCUCAGUAACAAAAGCUCCAAAGCCUCACAGUCAUGGGUUACCCAGGCUUCUUAUUAGAUCCGCGUGCAUUGGUUCAUCCUGUUGAACCUCUCAUGGCUUUGCACGACUAGAAUUUCCUCAAGAAGCCCGAGAGGAGAAGCUUGAUUCUUGUCCAAAUCAGUUUUUGCCUGGUGGUCAUGUGUUCACUGAGAAUUGAAGCUACAGUCACAUGUUAAUUUCAGACUUUAACUUAAUUAUUAGACCAUUAAGAUAAUUUACGGCAUGACCCUAUGUAGGCCCCACUUUUCUCAUGCUAAUUUUUGUCAUCAACAUAUUCUGUAAUCUACUUGAUUUUCUUUUUCUUUUUUUUGAGUUUUUGGAACUUUGAGUUAAUUCUAGGCGUGCUAUUGAUGUGUUUGAGCACCAGAGGUCGGACUAUACCUUGCGUGAUCCCUAAUGAUGAUAAAAGCGGUAUAUAAUUUGAAUGUCAUUUGCACGGAUUUCCUGGCAAAGAAUGCAUUGAUGGA